CUAGGAUGAACGAAGAGGGGUUUGAAAGAUGGAAGAGCGAGGGUCCAGUGAAUGAUCUUUUUGUGCCUUCCCUUUCCCUCCUCUUGCUUACGAACCACAUGAAAUAACCGGAGCCUCUGAAGCCACUGUGGACAGCGAGGGAUUUUGAGGUUGGAAAUCGUACUCUGGAGAUAGUGGUUUCUGGGCUCCUAAUCGUUUCGCGCAGUUUUCAAACCAUCCGCGGACCCGCCACCACUCUCUGACAUGAAGGAGGACUAUUGACUAGCACGAGUCCUUCCAUCAUCUCUCUGA